rnacentral:rRNA from 1 species
UACGAAGGGUGCAAACGUUGCUCGGAAUCACUGGGCGUAAAGCGCACGUAGGCGGCUUUUUAAGUCAGGGGUGAAAUCCUGGAGCUCAACUCCAGAACUGCCUUUGAUACUGAGAAGCUUGAGUUCGGGAGAGGUGAGUGGAACUGCGAGUGUAGAGGUGAAAUUCGUAGAUAUUCGCAAGAACACCAGUGGCGAAGGCGGCUCACUGGCCCGAUACUGACGCUGAGGUGCGAAAGCGUGGGGAGCAACAGG